CCAGGUAAUUGGUGGUGCCCUGGUGCUGAGGCGACCCCGCUGGGGUGCAGCUGGGCUGGGUGCUGGGUACCACUGCCCGUGUGGGAUGGGAUGGGAUGGGAUGGGAUGGGGCAGGAGCCAGGAAAACGCACCGGGUGGGCGCAGGGCACGGGAGAAAAAAUGCAUGGGGAUGGGGAGCGGGGGGCAAAAGCCUGGGGGCUGCUAAAACACCUGGAAGGCACCAAGGGGAGGUGAAUGGGGACAGCCCGAGCUGGUGGCGGAUCAGAGAUGCGAUGCCCUUUUGCAGCGGGGUGUUUUGGGGAAGAUAACGCCUCCUCCCCACCUCCACCUCUCAUUUACGCUGCUUCCCCCUGCCCUGCUCCCUGGUUGUGUCGCCAAACCUGGGGCUGCAGGGACACUGAGGCACAGGUGGUGGCCUCCUGGGCUCCCUUCCAGCAUCGCCCCCGAGCCGAUGGCUCUGCAGGACCUGGGGAAGGGGCAGACUGCCCAGCCCCGUGCCCACCAACAGCUCUGGCCAAGCCCAGGCUGCUCACACGAAGCCCACGGCGAUGUGACCGCUCGCUCCAGCGAGGACGUGCCCAGGGUGUCCCCUGCAGGAGGUGUCUGCGUGCUCUCUGCGUGUCCCCUGCCCGUGUGGGCUCCGUACCAAGCCCGUGCCACCCCUGGAAGCCCUUCCAGCAGGCACAGGGGAUGCCUGGCAGCGGGGUUUAUCCCCCAGCCACAGGCACCGUGGGACCCCCGCUGCCCCACCGCUGCCUCCUCCCCGCCGUGUUUGCUCAGCUGCAGCUCAGCUCCAGUCACCGUCUUCCCAGGUCAACAAAAGCAGCUGAACCCCAACCUACUGCUGGGUUCAGAGCGUACCAGGCUUACCUCCCAGCACAGCUCUCCUCCAGCCUCGCUCCCUUCCCCUUCUCUCCUUGUGGAUGGACUGAGCCGGGGCCCACCCGGUGGCCAAAACGCUCCCAGGGUUGCCAGCGCUGGAGGGGAUGCAGCCACCCCUGCCCUUUUUGGGGUGCCCCCCCAGCACCCCAA
rnacentral:lncRNA from 1 species